rnacentral:lncRNA from 1 species
ACUCCAAUGGAAUGACGUUUGACAUAAUCAAAGAUCAAGGACUUAACCACAAGACAACUGUGAUGCCUCAAGUCAAAGAACUACUUUGCAUUAUCCCAACCAUGAGUUCUCAUGUGACAUGAGUAUGAGAACUCUUCGUUGAUCGCGUUCAGUGAACUCAUUCUCUACUGAGCACCUAUGUACUUGUCUUGAUGUCACACACACCAAUGACUCGAG